AGUGAACGCUGGCGGUAGGCCUAACACAUGCAAGUCGAACGGCCGCACAGGAGAGCUUGCUCUCUGGGUGGCGAGUGGCGGACGGGUGAGGUAUACAUCGGAAUCUACUCUGUUGUGGGGGAUGACGACGGGAGACUUACGCUAAUACCGCAGACGACGUAAGGAAGAAAGCCGGGGACCUGCGGGCCUUGCGCGAGUGACUGAGCCGAUGUCGGAUUGGCUAGUUGGCGGGGUAAAGGACCACCAAGGCGACGAUUAGUAGGUGGUCUGAGGGGAUGAUCAGCGACGCUGAAACUGAGACACGGUCCAGACUCCUACGGGAGGCAGCAGUGGGGAAUAUUGGACAAUGGGCUCAAGCCUGAUCCAGACAGACCGCGUGGGUGAAGAAGGCCUUCGGGUUGUAAAGCCCUUUUGUUGGGAAAGAAAUCCAGCUGGCUAAUACCCGGUUGGGAUGACGGUACCCAAAGAAUAAGCACCGGCUAACUUCGUGCCAGCCGCCACGGUAA
rnacentral:rRNA from 1 species